GGUGAAGAAGGUUCGAUUAAAAUCGCUGCAUCGUGCAGCAACAUCGAACUGACCUACAUCCUGUAGG
rfam:Pontibacillus yanchengensis Y32 contig13, whole genome shotgun sequence.